rnacentral:rRNA from 1 species
AGCGAACGCUGGCGGCAGGCUUAACACAUGCAAGUCGAACGGGCGUAGCAAUACGUCAGUGGCAGACGGGUGAGUAACGCGUGGGAACGUACCUUUUGGUUCGGAACAACCCAGGGAAACUUGGGCUAAUACCGGAUAAGCCCUUACGGGGAAAGAUUUAUCGCCGAAAGAUCGGCCCGCGUCUGAUUAGCUAGUUGGUGUGGUAACGGCGCACCAAGGCGACGAUCAGUAGCUGGUCUGAGAGGAUGAUCAGCCACAUUGGGACUGAGACACGGCCCAAACUCCUACGGGAGGCAGCAGUGGGGAAUAUUGGACAAUGGGCGCAAGCCUGAUCCAGCCAUGCCGCGUGAGUGAUGAAGGCCCUAGGGUUGUAAAGCUCUUUUGUGCGGGAAGAUAANGACGGUACCGCAAGAAUAAGCCCCGGCUAACUUCGUGCCAGCCGCCGCUGUAAG